rnacentral:rRNA from 1 species
GUCCACGCCGUAAACGGUGGGCGCUAGGUGUGGGGGACUUUCCACGUCCUCUGUGCCGCAGCUAACGCAUUAAGCGCCCCGCCUGGGGAGUACGGCCGCAAGGCUAAAACUCAAAGGAAUUGACGGGGGCCCGCACAAGCGGCGGAGCAUGUGGCUUAAUUCGACGCAACGCGAAGAACCUUACCAAGGCUUGACAUGCAGGGAAAUCUCACAGAGAUGUGAGGUCCGCAAGGGUCCUGCACAGGUGGUGCAUUGUUGUCGU